GGGUUGUGAGGUUAAGCGACUAAGCGUACACGGUGGAUGCCCUGGCAGUCAGAGGCGAUGAAGGACGUGCUAAUCUGCGAAAAGCGUCGGUAAGGUGAUAUGAACCGUUAUAGCCGGCGAUGUCCGAAUGGGGAAACCCAGUGUGAUUCGUCACACUAUCGUUAACUGAAUACAUAGGUUAACGAGGCGAACCGGGGGAACUGAAACAUCUAAGUACCCCGAGGAAAAGAAAUCAACCGAGAUUCCCCCAGUAGCGGCGAGCGAACGGGGAGCAGCCCAGAGUCUGAAUCAGCUUGUGUGUUAGUGGAACGGUCUGGAAAGUCCGACGGUACAGGGUGAUAGUCCCGUACACCAAAAUGCACAGGUUGUGAACUCGAAGARUAGGGCGGGACACGUGGUAUCCUGUCUGAAUA
rnacentral:rRNA from 1 species